GUCACGUCCCCACCACUGUUGGUGUCGACGGACGACAGACAGGUGGACCCAGGGUCCACCGGUCAGGCUAGCACCGUGCAAGUGUGACUUGAGUGGGUCUGGUUAGGUGUGUGGCGUUGUGUGUUUGUGUGUAUGGACUACUUAGUCCUGGCUUGUACUCAGAUCUGAACAGAAAGGGAAAUAGAAAGAAACGUCUGAAUCUCUCUCUCGUUCUCUGAACUCUCUCUCGUUCCUCUGUUCCCCAUCCUCUUUCCCCUUCAAUCUACUAGAAAACUGUGAGAUCUCUUCCAAGGGCCUCACAAAUGGUAUUCAGAGCCUAGAUCGCGUCCGUCUGCGCUCUCAAUCUCUUUGGGCUGUAAAAUUCCACCGCGAAGGGUGCGAAAAUUUGUGGAACAAAUUUUCGCCCAAAAUCCCGAGCGGGGUUAGCCCGAUUUUGGAGCAAGCCGCAACGGCGCCGUCGAAGCAGCCGCUACCGUCCGCGCAGACCAAACUCGUCCUCGCUGCUAUGGGGGAAAAUUCCGAGAGUAUUCAGUCGACGUUGGCUACCUUACUGACCAAGUUCGAGGCCAUGGAUCUCAGGAUUUCGAACUUGGGCAAGCAAAUCGAGGCGACGCAAGAGAACGUCGACGCGAUUCGUCAUCGUCAGGCGGAGGCAGGCGCUACUCCGACAGGAUCAGGUGUCACGGAGCAGGGCGCGACCUCCACCACUCGCCCCGUUCCGCGGCUCGCUAAUCUGCAGCCGCCGUUGCUGGGGACACCGGCAGAGCAUCAGGAAGGGCAGGUAUUCACCACAGCACCUCCCUCGCCUGUGGAGCAAGUACCAGGUCGGGAUCCACCUCCAGAAAUGCGUCAACAAGUCAGGCCAGGGCGGGAGCAUGUUCCAGAACCUCGUCGGGAGUUUGCAGCGGCUCGCGAUCAGGAAUCCUCCGUCAAGCCACCCAAGCAUCACUUUCCCCGAUUUGCGGGUGAGAAUCCGAGGUUGUGGUUGGAUCAGGCACUGACCUAUUUCAACAUGUAUCGCGUGCCUGAACAUCACUGGGUCUCGACAGCAACAUUAUAUCUGGAAGGGCAUGCGGCAUUGUGGUGGCAGGCGUUCAAACAGCGUCGUCGUUUGUGGCCCUGGGAUGAUUUUGCAACGGAGAUUGCACUGGAGUUUGGCCAAGGGGAGUAUGAAUCACACAUGACCAGAAUUUUGCAACUCAAACAGCUGGGUACAGUUACUGAAUACAAGACUGAGUUUGAGUCUGCAAUGUAUAACUUGAUCGCAUGGGACCCUUCCUUGAACUCGAAAUUCUUCAUUUCUCAGUUCGUGUUGGGUCUCAAGGAUGACAUUCGAGCAGCAGUGCGCUUGCAGUCUCCCACCAGUGUAACUCGUGCUGUCUGUUUGGCAAAAAUCCAGGAAGAGGAGCUCGAUCUGCAACGUCCUAGACAACGGUUCCAGAGACAUACACCAAUACAGACCGUGCCUUCUGUAAUCCAACCUGUUCAGCAAGCAGGCAAGAAAGCAACAGAUGAUUUUGGUCGUGAGAGACAGCUACGAGAUUUCAAAAAAGCAAAUGGUCUAUGCUUCAGGUGUGGAGAUGAGUACAGCAAGGAACAUCAAUGUAAGAAGCCUAUGCAGCUACUUACUAUACAAGUUGGUGAGCAUGGUGAAAUUUUAACUAAAGAUGCAGUGCAAGCUUUGGAAUUACUAACUGAACCCACCACAUCGGAGUGCUGUCAGAUUUCAGCCCAUGCUGUUUCAGGAGCCGACAAUACAGAAACCAUCCGCAUAAGAGCAUUGGUGGGCAACCAAGUCAUGUUAGCACUCGUGGACUCGGGCAGUAGUCAUAGUUUCGUGGAUGAAAAAUUUGCCAAGCGUGCUUCGUUGGAUUUGGUCGCUGUUCCAGCAGUGAAAGUUACAGUUGCAAAUGGUCAAACUAUGGAAUCCAAGUUUCAAACCCCUAAUCUGACUUGGUGGGCACAGGGUCACACUUUUGUGACACCAAUGAGAGUGCUACAACUGGGGGCUUAUGAUGUGGUGCUGGGAAUGGACUGGCUUAAGUGUCACAGUCCGAUGAUUUGCGAUUGGGAGGGCAAAUCAUUACAGUUUGCCCAUGGUGAUACUAUCAUUUCCCUUCAAGGUGUGCAGCCUGUUUCUACUAUGCAAUUGCAAGCUAUGUCAGUAGAGCAAUUGGACAAAGCUCUGCUUGGCAAUGAUAUUUGGGCUAUGGCCGUGGUUGAUCCUUCUUCAGGUGAUGUUGUUUCCACGCCUGGCUCCUAUCCAGAAGAUCUGACUGCAGUUUUAACAGACUUUCAAGAUGUGUUUGAAACUCCAAGUGGCCUGUCUCCACAUAGAGUAUAUGAUCAUGCAAUCACGUUGGAAGUGGGUCAUAACCCUCCAAACUCUCGUCCUUACCGAUACUCGCCACAACAAAAGGACGAGAUUGAAUGACAAGUGGCAGAGAUGAUCAAGGCAGGGAUUGUGAAACCUAGUAUAAGCCCGUAUGCAUCACCAGUACUUCUGGUUAAGAAAAAAGACGGCAGCUGGCGUUUUUGCGUGGAUUACCGCAAACUCAACGCCAUCACUGUGAAGAACAAAUUCCCUCUGCCCAUGGUCGACGAAUUACUCGAUGAACUGGCAGGAUCAAAAAUUUUCUCCAAGCUGGACCUCAGGGCAGGUUAUCACCAAAUCCGUAUGCAUGAACCAGAUGAGGAGAAGACUGCAUUCAAGACACAUUCAGGACACUUUCAAUUUCGUGUUAUGCCAUUUGGGGUGACCAAUGGACCACCAACAUUUCAGUGCUUAAUGAAUAGCAUCUUUGCCCCAGCUAAUCGCAAGUAUGUCAUCACAUUUUUGGACGACAUUCUAGUUUUCAGUACCACUUGGGAGGAACAUCUGGAGCAUCUUCGCUCGGUACUACAGACCUUGCGCGAGCAUCAGUUGUUUGUGAAGCUUUCCAAAUGCUCUUUGCUCAGACUGAAAUCCAAUAUUUGGGUCAUGUGAUUUCUUCUGAAGGUGUGGCUACAGACCCAGAGAAGACUAUGGCGAUGGAACAUUGGCCUCAACCUACCAACGCUACUGAAUUGCGUGGGUUCCUUGGGUUGACCGGGUACUACCACAAAUUUGUCCGAAAUUAUGCUAGUAUGGCCAAGCCUUUGACUCAAUUGCUGACCAAGAAAGGUUUUGUUUGGAUAGAGCAAGCAACUGUAGCUUUUCAAACAUUGAAAACAGCUAUGACUAGUACCCCUGUAUUGGCUCUACCGGAUUUCAGUCAACCUUUUACAGUCGAGACUGAUGCUUCUGCCACAGGAAUUGGAGCCAUACUCUCACAGAAUAACCAUCCUAUUGCUUAUCUAAGCAGGGCUUUGGGUGUGGCCAAUCAAAAGUUGUCUGUUUAUGAGAAAGAAUUCUUGGCUGUAAUUAUGGCCAUUGAUAAGUGGCGCCCUUACCUUCAGAGGGGUCCCUUCACUAUCAUUACAGACCACCGAAGCCUAUGUCAUUUACAGGAUCAACAACUCAUUACUGAUCUUCAGCGCAAGGCCAUGGCUAAGAUGGUGGGCCUUCAAUUUCAGUUUAAGUACCGCAAAGGCUCGGAGAACAACGCCGCAGAUGCAUUAUCUCGUGUGGGUCAUUUGUACACAAUCAUAGCAGUCUCGACUUGCCAACCAAUGUGGAUGCAGGAGGUUAUGAAUUCCUAUCAAACUGAUCAAUCAGCUCUGGAUCGAUUAGCUCGUCUGGCAGUUCAUAGUCCGGAUGAACACGGUUAUUCACUUGAUCAAGGACUGAUUAAAUAUCAAGGACGUUUGUGGAUUGGUAAUAAUUCUGCGCUGCAAACAAAACUAAUCAGUGCUCUGCAUUCAAGCGCUGUCGGGGGUCAUUCAGGCGUCAGGGCCACUUAUUACCGUGUGUCCAAAUUAUUCCGAUGGUCUGGCAUGAAACGACAAGUUUAUGACUGGGUGAAGCAGUGUCAAGUUUGUCAGCAAGCAAAACACGAGCGAACACAUCCGGGUGGGUUGCUGCAGCCUUUGCCAGUGCCUACGCGCCCUUGGAAGGACAUUACCAUGGAUUUCAUAGAUGGGCUUCCGAAAUCAGAAGGAUUUGAAGUAAUCCUAGUGGUGGUCGAUCGACUCGCUAAAUACGCUCACUUUUUUCCUCUGAAACACCCCUAUACAGCUCAGUCCGUAGCCACAGUUUUCAUUGAUAAUGUAGUUCGCCUUCAUGGAGUUCCGGCAUCGAUUGUUUCCGACUGAGAUAAGGUGUUUACCAGUUUUUUUGGAGGAAGCUCUUCAAGGAGAUAGGCACCAAGUUAUGCUACUCUACUGCCUAUCAUCCUCAAACGGACGGGCAAUCAGAGCGUGUUAACCAGUGUUUAGAACAGUAUCUACGUUGUGCCGUUCAUGACAGCCCGGCAAGGUGGAAACGCUGGUUACCAAUGGCAGAGUUUUGGUAUAAUUCCUCUUAUCACACAUCACUUGGCAACACUCCUUUUAAGGCUUUAUAUGGCAUUGAUCCUAAUUUUGGUACUAUGCCGAUUGACACGGGAGAAUUACCUACUUCCCUGGCAGUGCUAGCAGCAGAUCGUGAAGAUUUUUUGGCUCUGUUACGUGACCAUCUCCUGCGUGCUCAGCAGAGAAUCAAGUCACAGGCUGAUAAGCAUCGUACGGAUAGGGAAUUUGCUGUUGGUGAGGAAGUUCUGCUCAAACUCCAACCAUAUGCACAAUCUUCGCUGGUCAACCGCCCCUGCCACAAGCUUGCAUUAAAGUUCUUUGGUCCAUUUCGUGUCACUGAAAGAAUUGGUGUUGCUGCUUAUCGUUUGGAUCUUCCGGCUGCCAGUCUCAUACAUCCUGUUUUUCAUGUUUCCCAAUUGAAGCCAUUUACUGCAAACUACUCUCCAGUGUUUGCAGACUUGCCUGAGCCACCAGAUUUGUCGGCUGUUACAUUGCAGCCUGAGGCGAUUCUUGAACGACGGAUGGUAAAGAAAGGUAACUCAGCAAUUCCUCAGAUCAAAGUCCAGUGGCACGGCAUUGCUGCAGAUCAUGCAACCUGGAAAGAUUAUUAUGUUCUUCGGGCGCAUUUUCCGGAGGCUUCAAUCUAGGAGGAGCCUGCAUCUCAAGGGGGGGAAAGUGUCACGUCCCCACCACUGUUGGUGUCGACGGACGACAGACAGGUGGACCCAGGGUCCACCGGUCAGGCUAGCACCGUGCAAGUGUGACUUGAGUGGGUCUGGUUAGGUGUGUGGCGUUGUGUGUUUGUGUGUAUGGACUACUUAGUCCUGGCUUGUACUCAGAUCUGAACAGAAAGGGAAAUAGAAAGAAACGUCUGAAUCUCUCUCUCGUUCUCUGAACUCUCUCUCGUUCCUCUGUUCCCCAUCCUCUUUCCCCUUCAAUCUACUAGAAAACUGUGAGAUCUCUUCCAAGGGCCUCACACUUCAUUACCGGCUGAUUAGCUGCCGUAG
rnacentral:lncRNA from 1 species